rnacentral:rRNA from 1 species
GCUAGUUGUAUUGACUAAUUUGUUAAUAUAAUAUCGACUCUGUCGAAUAAAAUUCUAGGUAGAGGGUUUGAUUAUGACAUUCUCUAUCUUUGUCUUGACCAAAUUACGUGCCAGCAGUCGCGGUAAUACGUAGAAGACAAGUGUUAUUCAUCUUUAAUUGGUUUAAAGGGUACCUAGACGGUAAUGAAGCUCUAAUGGAGUACUAUUUGCUAGAGUUAGAUAUAAGGAUGCUUUAAUGUAGUAACGAGUGUAGAGAUGAAAUUCUUUGAUACCGUAGGUUGGACAGAUUAAGGCGAAAGCAUCAUCUUAUGUAAUAACUGACGUUGAAGGACGAAGGCUAUCAACCCCUAAAGGGAUUAGGUACCCCUGUAGCUGUAGCAGAAAAUGAUGAAUGUCAUAGGUUAGAUAUAAUCUAGUCUAUAAAUGAAAGUGUAAGCAUUCCACCUCAAGAGUAAUUUGGCAACAUUGGAACUGAAAUCAUUAGACCGUUUCUGAAACCAGUAGUGAAGUAUGUUGUUUAAUUUGAUGAUCCGCAAAAAACCUUACCACAACUUGAAUAUCUCUUUUUUGAUUAGUGAAAAGGAUGAGAAAGAGAAACAAGCGUUGCACGGUUGUCUUCAGUUAAUGUCGUGAGAUUAUGGUUAGUUC